GUGCGGCACGUGCCGAAUCCCGCAAGGGAACCGGGGAACCACCACCAUGGGGUGAAUCACGCGGAAGCCGUCGUGAACUCGCAGAGUCCACGACCGGUAUACGCGCGUAGGAGACCUUCCCGCUCCGAACCCGUCAGCUAACCCGGUAGGCGACGGAAGGAAAGGAGUG
rfam:Actinobacteria bacterium OV320 ctg36, whole genome shotgun sequence.